UGGCUCAGAACGAACGCUGGCGGCGUGCCCUAACACAUGCAAGUCCAAACGUGAAAGGGGAGCAAUCCCCCCGGUAGGGUGGCAAACGGGUGAGUAAUACAUGGGUGAUCUACCUUAGGGAUGGGGAUAUCCUUCCGAAAGGAGGGGCAAUACCGAAUAUUGUCCGGAGCCGUGAAGGGUUCCGGGGAAAGGGAGGCCUCUGAUACAAGCUUCGCCUUAAGAUGAGCCCAUGGCCCAUCAGCUAGUUGGUAGGGUAAAGGCCUACCAAGGCUACGACGGGUCGCUGGUCUGAGAGGACGACCAGCCACACUGGCACUGAGAUACGGGCCAGACUCC
rnacentral:rRNA from 1 species